CUUGUUUGAGGAGAUGCAGCCUCGGCUAGAGAGGAGGAUAAGGCAUAGCCAGGUACUACCAACUCACACCCAGGUUUUGCUGGCCCUAAGAUUAUUUGCCAGUGGGCCCUUCCAAAACGUCAUUGGAAACACUGCAGGACCUACAAAAGUGUCAGCAGGGUCUUCAAGCAUGUUUGCACUGUGUUGAGUGAUAAGUCAGUGCAGGAAAUCGAGAUGCCUCCAACACACCUUGAUCAAAGGAGAAUUACACAGCAGUUCUUCAGGAUCGAAAAUUUCCUAAGGGUUAUUGGGGCCAUUGAUGGCACCCACAUCGCCAUCAAAGCUCGAGGAGUGGAUGAGGCCCUCUACUUUAACUGGAAAAGGUAUCACUCCCUCUGAACAUCCAACUUGUUUGUGAUGCGAAUGGGGUGAUCCUCAGCUACUGUUCCAGAUUCCCAGGUGCCUGCACUCUUCUGGAGGUGGCUUGCAGUACAGACCCAUCAAGUGUGUGAAAAUAAUUAAUGCUUGCCUGCUCCUACACAACUGCUGCAUCAAGUUCCUGAUGACAUAUGUACUUGUCACUAUUUUUCUGGUAGUUGACAGGAUAUAUCUAUAUCGUGGACAUUAGAUUUAACU